rnacentral:rRNA from 1 species
CCAGGAGGUUGGCUUAGAAGCAGCCAUCCUUGAAAGAGUGCGUAAUAGCUCACUGGUCGAGUGGUUCUGCGCCGACAAUGUAGUGGGGCUCAAGUACACCGCCGAAGCCGCGGCAAUCACCAUUUUGUGGUGGUUGGGUAGGGGAGCGUCGCGUAUGUGCUGUGAAGCGCUGGGGUGACCCUAGUGUGGAGUGUGCGCGAGUGAGAAUGCAGGCAUGAGUAGCGAAUGAGGAGUGGAAAACUCCUCCGCCGAAUGACUAAGGGUUCCUGGGCCAGGUUAAUCCUCCCAGGGUGAGUCGGGGCCUAAGGCGAGGCCGACAGGCGUAGUCGAUGGAUAACGGGUUGAUAUUCCCGUACCCGUGUGUCCGCGCCCAUGGUGAAUCAGGGAUACUAACCCACCUGAACACGCGCCGUUUACUAGCCUUUUAGGUUGGUUGGUGUGUGUGAUGCUGGGGACCUGAACUGGUAGUAGCCAAGUGAUGGGGUGACGCAGGAAGGUAGCCGUGCCACGUGAUGGAUAUCGUGGUGUAAGCGUGUGGCCCGUGUUCUAGGUAAAUCCGGAGCACAUUCAAGGGUGAGGCGUGAUGCGUACCCGUUUUUGGGGAAGUUGGUGAUCCUAUGCUGCCGAGAAAAGCCUCUAGCGAUGUGGAUAUACGGCCCGUACCCGAAACCGACACAGGUAGUCAGGUAGAGAAUACUAAGGCGAUCGGGAUAACUGUGGUUAAGGAACUCGGCAAAAUGCCCCCGUAACUUCGGGAGAAGGGGGGCCAUGACUGGUGACCGACGUGGUUGAGCUGGUUGUGGCCGCAGAGAAUAGAGGGAAGCGACUGUUUACUAAAAACACAGGUCCGUGCGAAGACAUUUAAGUCGAGGUAUACGGACUGACGCCUGCCCGGUGCUGGAAGGUUAAGAGGACCUGUUAGGCCGCCUUUGGUGGUCGAAGCGGAGAAUUUAAGCCCCAGUAAACGGCGGUGGUAACUAUAACCAUCCUAAGGUAGCGAAAUUCCUUGUCGGGUAAGUUCCGACCUGCACGAAUGGCGUAACGACUUCUCUGCUGUCUCAACCACAGGCCCGGUGAAAUUGCACUACGAGUAAAGAUGCUCGUUACGCGCGGCAGGACGAAAAGACCCCGGGACCUUCACUAUAGCUUGGUAUUGGUGUUCGGUUCGGUUUGUGUAGGAUAGGUGGGAGACUGUGAUGCCUCAACGCCAGUUGGGGUGGAGUCGUUGUUGAAAUACCACUCUGAUCGUAUUGGACAUCUCAACCUCGGCCCGUGAUCCGGGUUAGGGACAGUGCCUGGUGGGUAGUUUAACUGGGGCGGUUGCCUCCCAAAGAGUAACGGAGGCGCCCAAAGGUUCCCUCAGCCUGGUUGGCAAUCAGGUGUUGAGUGUAAGUGCACAAGGGAGCUUGACUGUGAGACUGACAGGUCGAGCAGGUAGGAAACUAGGGACUAGUGAUCCGGCACCGGCUUGUGGAAGCGGUGUCGCUCAACGGAUAAAAGGUACCCCGGGGAUAACAGGCUGAUCUUCCCCAAGAGUCCAUAUCGACGGGAUGGUUUGGCACCUCGAUGUCGGCUCGUCGCAUCCUGGGGCUGGAGUAGGUCCCAAGGGUUGGGCUGUUCGCCCAUUAAAGCGGCACGCGAGCUGGGUUCAGAACGUCGUGAGACAGUUCGGUCUCUAUCCGCCGCGCGCGUUGAAACUUGAAGAAGGCUGUCCCUAGUACGAGAGGACCGGGACGGACGUACCUCUGGUGUGCCAGUUGUUCCGCCAGGAGCACGGCUGGUUGGCUACGUACGGAAGGGAUAACCGCUGAAAGCAUCUAAGCGGGAAGCCUGUUCCAAGAUUAGGUUUCUUUUGAGGUCCCCUAUAGAUGAUGGGGUUGAUAGGCCGGAUCUGGAAGCAUCGUAAGGUGUGGAGGUGACCGGUACUAAUAGACCAAACAUUCAACACACA